UGGACCCGUGGUGACAGCUGGUGGCGUGUGAGUACUUCACGAUGGCUGCUACAUGUCUGGAAGUCUGAGGUCCGU
ensembl:snoRNA